rnacentral:tRNA from 1 species
UAAUGUCUAGCCUAGUAGUUAGGGCACUUACCUGGGAAGCAGGAGAUGGAGGUUUUAAUCCCUCAGGUUAA